GCUUGGUCAGUGCCCAAACCAGCCUCUAGGGGAAGAACCUUUUUGUGAUAUCCAGCCUAACACUCCCCUGACACAUCUCCAGCUGUUCCUUGGGUCCUGUCACUGCUCACACAAAGCACAGAUCUACCCCUCAUGAGGAAGCUGCAGACCCUGGUGAGAUCUGAUCUCAGUCUCCUCCAGUCUAAACACCUCAAGUGCCCUCAAAAGCUCCUGGGUUGAAUGUAACUCCCAGGAAAUCUUGUACAAUUCAGCUGACCUGCCCAAGAGAGUAAAAUAUGGCUGUUUGUAACCGUGGUGGGAUGAUCUGGAGCCCCCCAGAUGGAAGGUGCUAUGCAGAGAUGUGCUGCAGAGAAGACUCAGAAGACAGAAGCACAGGGUGUACUGGGCCGUGCAGUGCUGCCAUGGCACCCAGCUCACAGCUCGGAGAGGACUUGGCUGGAGGCAGCUCCGUCCAUCCAGAUGACAGGGAAUGCAUCAGGUCAUGCCUGUGCAGAACCUGCUUCAGACAAACCCAGGCCAUUGCCCUCUUGGAAAUCCCACUGGACCUACAGAAACUGUUGCAGGACCCAAAGUGACCAGGUGGCCCAACCCCAAUGGGCUGUGCCAGGGUUUCCUGAUGUUCCUGCUCCGUUCCGAUGAAACAUUAUACAGAAAGAUAUAGGCAAAGCAUUAUGCUCACAGCCUUUGCCAACAAGUUAUGUUUUAAUGUAAUUUAACUGUAAUCUCAGAGUGUUUUUGUUAGCUAUAAUUAGUAAAAUAUGUCUGUUUUCUGUGUUCCUUGAAGAUGUCUGAACUCCUGCCAGUUCCCUAUAGUUUUCCUGACAUGCAGUGUAACAAGCAGACCACCAAAAUGUAUUUACCAAUAACUGUUUAUUUACAUUCCAUGAAAUCUAAUAACAUUUGCUGUCUUCAUUCGGGAUAAAUGCUCGCCAAAGUGUAAAGCAUAAAAAAAUAAACACUGCCUUACUUUCUAA